rnacentral:tRNA from 1 species
GCCAGAAUGGUGGAAUUGGUAGACACGUUAGAAUUAAGAUCUAAUGCCCAGUAAUGGGCGUGUGGGUUCGAGUCCCACUUCGGGUA